rnacentral:lncRNA from 1 species
UAGAUAAGCAUGCUUAUGUGCUAUGUGUUAUGUGAAAAUACGUGCCUUGCAUGUCUACUUGCUUUUAUUUAUAUUUGCUUAUAUAGAUGAAUGUACGUCACCGUGGCUAGUCCAAUGCUAGUCAUGGUCUUCCCCCUCGAACUCUCGCAAGUCCAAUGCUUGUGAAAAAGCGUUAGUGAAGGGCUAGUCCAAUGCUAGACCCAUUAGGGCCGUCCCCGCGCUAGCAGAUACUUGCAUGCCUUCAUUACAUCUUCAUUCAUUCUUUCCUUUUAGUUUUACAUUUU